rnacentral:rRNA from 1 species
GACAGAGGGUGCAAACGUUGUUCGGAAUUACUGGGCGUAAAGCGCGUGUAGGCGGCCCGGAAAGUCGGAUGUGAAAGCCCUGGGCUUAACCUAGGAAGUGCAUUCGAAACUCCCGGGCUUGAGUUCUGGAGAGGAAGGCGGAAUUCUCGGUGUAGAGGUGAAAUUCGUAGAUAUUCGGAAGAACACCAGUGGCGAAGGCGACUUACUGGACAACUGUUGACGCUGAGGUGCGAAAGCGUGGGGAGCAAACAGG